GACGAACGCUGGCGGCGUGCCUAAUACAUGCAAGUAGAACGCUGAAGAGAGGAGCUUGCUCUUCUUGGAUGAGUUGCGAACGGGUGAGUAACGCGUAGGUAACCUGCCUUGUAGCGGGGGAUAACUAUUGGAAACGAUAGCUAAUACCGCAUAACAAUGGAUGACCCAUGUCAUUUAUUUGAAAGGGGCAAAUGCUCCACUACAAGAUGGACCUGCGUUGUAUUAGCUAGUAGGUGAGGUAACGGCUCACCUAGGCGACGAUACAUAGCCGACCUGAGAGGGUGAUCGGCCACACUGGGACUGGGACACGGCCCAGACUCCUACGGGAGGCAGCAGUAGGGAAUCUUCGGCAAUGGGGGCAACCCUGACCGAGCAACGCCGCGUGAGUGAAGAAGGUUUUCGGAUCGUAAAGCUCUGUUGUAAGUCAAGAACGAGUGUGAGAGUGGAAAGUUCACACUGUGACGGUAGCUUACCAGAAAGGGACGGCUAACUACGUG
rnacentral:rRNA from 1 species